rnacentral:rRNA from 1 species
CAGUAGCCGCGGGAAUACGGAGGGUGCAAGCGUUAAUCGGAAUUACUGGGCGUAAAGCGCACGCAGGCGGUCUGUCAAGUCAGAUGUGAAAUCCCCGGGCUUAACCUGGGAACUGCAUUUGAAACUGGCAGGCUAGAGUCUUGUAGAGGGGGGUAGAAUUCCAGGUGUAGCGGUGAAAUGCGUAGAGAUCUGGAGGAAUACCGGUGGCGAAGGCGGCCCCCUGGACAAAGACUGACGCUCAGGUGCGAAAGCGUGGGGAGCAAACAGGAUUAGAGACCCCGGUAGUCCCUGUCUCUUAUAA